GAUGUUUAUAAUUUACAGUAGUCAUUAUGUAUGGUUAUCUUGUACCAUACAUGUCAUUUAGAUGUUUAUAAUUUACAAACAAACAUUUUAUUUAUGUAGUUCUCUAAAUCAAUAUAUAGUAGACAAACCAGUUUAAAACCUAUAAGUUUACCAAAUGGUUUAGUAAGUAAAUGUUAAGCGCAGUUGGAUUAAGUGAAGAGGACAGCAGAGAGCCUGGAGAAAAGCCUGGAGCUCGGGAGAGAACUAGGAAAGACGGUCUGAUCCACGAGGGCCAGUGCUGUAGAAAGAGACAAAGACGUGUGGAGCAGCCCAUGAAGAGGAUGGUGAAUGAGAUCAGAGAGGGGGGUUGGGAAGCUCAGACGGAUGACCAGUUUAGGAAGAUCUUCAUGGAAUCCAAGGGGGACAUCCGGAAGAUGAUGGCCGGAGCUGAGUUUGACCGUGAGAAGGAGAUCACCACCAAGAACAUCAUGGAGUCGGAGCGGGAUGAGUCUGACAGAGCGGAGUGGAACGUAGAGCUGGGUGGGGGCGUGGGCGGACCGGGAUCCUGGUGGUUAAGGGGCUGGGGCCGUAGCUGAGGGGUGAUCGGACUCAAGGGGCGUGGCCUGGGUGGUAGAUAGACAUGGCCCCUCCCUCCAUCGAGGUCCCUCCUUCCUGUGUUGCAUGGCAACAAACUCUCCUCCCCCCAUCCAUCUCCCCCUGGGCUAAGGAGGAACUGAGGACUACUGCUGAGAGUGGAACAGGGGCUUUAAUGCAGGUAAAGGGAGUUAGUAAGAGACUUGCUGGUUCGUACCUAUUGAAGAAGUGUACACUGCUUUGACAUAAGCUAAAAUACAUUUUGGGGCGAUAUGUCAGAUGCGUCGGUUGUUGUUGUUGUUUCAGUCUGCUAGCUCAGAAGACAGAGGAUCUCGCAGGCAAGCUGUAGGAAGCGUUCAGUAAAAGAAGAAGAGAGGGGUGAAGGAAGCAGAGGAUGAGGCAAAAUAGUCUCAGGGACAGGAAGCAGACGGUGAGGUAAAAGAGUCUCAGGGACAGGAAGCAGAGGGUGAGGUAAAAUAGUCUCUGGGACAGGAAGCAGACGGUGAGGUAAAAGAGUCUCAGGGACAGGAAGCAGAGGGUGAGGUAAAAUAGCCUCUGGGACAGGAAGCAGAGGGUAAGGUAAAAGAGUCUCAGGAACUGGAAGCAGAGGGUGAGGUAAAACAGUAUCAGGGACAGGAAGCAGAAGGUGAGGUAAAAGAGUCUCUGGGACAGGAAGUAGAGUGUGAGGUAAAAGAGUCUCAGGGACAGGAAGCAGAGGGUGAGGUAAAAGAGUCUCAGGGACAGGAAGCAGAGGGCGAGGUAAAAGAGUCUCAGGGACAGGAAGCAGAAGGUGAGGUAAAAAAGUAUCAGGGACAGGAAGCAGAGGGUGAGGUAAAAUAGUCUCUGGGACAGGAAGCAGAGGGUGAGGUAAAAUAAUCUCAGGGACAGGAAGCAGAGGGUGAGGUAAAAGAGUCUCUGGGACAGGAAGCAGAGGGUGAGGUAAAAUAGUCUCUGGGACAGGAAGCAGAUGGUGAGGUAAAAUAGUCUCUGGGACUGGAAGCAGACGGUGAGGUAAAAGAGUCUCAGGGACAGGAAGCAGAGUGUGAGGUAAAAGAGUAUCAGGGACAGGAAACAAAGGGUGAGGCAAAAGAGUCCCAGGAACAGGAACAGGAAGCAGAGGGUGAGGUAAAAAAGUAUCAGGGACAGGAAGCAGAGGGUGAGGUAAAAGAGUCUCAGGGACAGGAAGCAGAGGGUGAAGUAAAAGAGUAUCAGGGACUGGAAGCAGAGGGUGAGGUAAAAGAGUCUCAGGGACAGGAAGCAGAGGGUGAGGUAAAAUAGUCUCAGGGACAGGAAGAAAUAAAAGAGGAGAUGAAGGAAGAAUGAAAAUACUGAGAUUCAGGCAGCAAAGAAGAAGGAAAAUUGGAUUAGAAACAAGAGGGAAAUGUAGAGGAGGCAUUAGUCGUUGUGUGAUAUACUACAUAUACAAAAGUAUUUGGACACCCUUUCAAAUUAGUGGAUUCGGCUAUUUCAGACACACCUGUUGCUGACGUGUAUAAAAUCGAGCACACAGCCAUGCACUUUCCAUAGACAAACACUGGCAGUAGAAUGGCCCAUACUGAAGAGCUCAGUGACUUUCAACGUGGCACCGUUAUAGGAUGCCACCUUUCCAACAAGUCAGUUUGUCAAAUUUCUGCCCUGCUAGAGCUGCCCUGGUCAACUGUAAGUGCUGUUAUUGUGAAGUGGAAACAUCUAGGAGCAACAACGGCUCAGCCGCGAAGUGGUAGGCCAGACAAGCUCUCAGAACCAGAACGCCGAGUGCAGAAGCACAUAAAAAUCGUCUGUCCUCGUUUGUAACACUCACUAUCAAGUUCCAAACUGCCUCUGGAAGCAACGUCAGCACAAGAACUGUUUGUUGGGAGCUUCAUCAAAUGGGUUUCCAUGGCUGAGCAGCCACACACAAGCCUAAGAUCACCAUGCAAAAUGCCAAGCGUUGGCUGGAGUGGUGUAAAGCUCGCCGCCAUUGAACUCUGGAGCAGUGGAAACGCAUUCUCUGGAGUGAUGAUUCACGCUUUACCAUCUGGCAGUCCGACGGACGAAUCGGGUUUGGCGGAUGCCAGAAGAACACUACCUGCCCCAAUGCAUAGUGCCAACUGUAAGGAUUGGUGGAGGAGGAAUAAUGGUCUGGGGCUGUUUUUCAUGGUUCGGCUAGGCCCCUUAGUUCCAGUGAAGGGAAAUGUUUACGCUACAGCAUACAAUGACAUUCUAGACGAUUCUGUGCUUCCAACUUUGUGGCAACAGUUUGGUAAAGGCCCUUUCUUGUUUCAUCAUGACAAUACCCUAUGCACAAAGCGAGGUUCAUACAGAAAUGGUUUGUCGAGAUCAGUGUGGAAGAACUUGACUGGCCUACACAGAGCCCUGACCUCAACCCCAUCGAACACCUUUGGGAUGAAUUGGAACGCCGACUGCAAGACAGGCCCAAUCGCCAAACAUCACUGCCCGACCUCACUAAUGGUCUUGUGGUUGAAUGGAAGCAAGUCCCCGCAGCAAUGUUCCAACAUCUAGUGGAAAGCCUUCCCAGAAGAGUGGAGGCUGUUAUAGCAGCAAAGGGGGGACCAACUCCAUAUUAAUGCCCAUGAUUUUUGAAUGAAAAAUUUGACGAGAAGGUGUCCACAUACUUUUUAUC
rnacentral:lncRNA from 1 species